rnacentral:rRNA from 1 species
AUUGAACGCUGGCGGCAGGCCUAACACAUGCAAGUCGAACGAGUGGCGGACGGGUGAGUAAUGUAUGGGGAACUGCCCGAUAGAGGGGGAUAACUACUGGAAACGGUAGCUAAUACCGCAUACCAUCGGAUGUGCCCAGAUGGGAUUAGCUAGUAGGUGGGGUAAAGGCUCACCUAGGCGACGAUCCCUAGCUGGUCUGAGAGGAUGAACAGCCACACUGGAACGUAGACACGGCCCAGACUCCUACGGGAGGCAGCAGUGGGGAAUAUUGCACAAUGGGCGCAAGCCUGAUGCAGCCAUGCCGCGUGUAUGAAGAAGGCCUUCGGGUUGUAAAGUACUUUCAGCGAGGAGGCGUUACCCGCAGAAGAAGCACCGGCUAACUCCGUGCCAGCAGCCGCGGUAAUUC